CUAUUGUCACAUCAGGUAAAGAGAGUCAUAGAUUACAACAGCAUGGAAACAGGCCCUUCUGCUCAAGUUGUCUAAUGCCAAUUAAGAUGUCCCACCU